GGAAAGGAUGACGUGAUGCUCUUCGGACCCCGCCGGCCGCAGCUUCCCGGGAGGUCGCCGCAGCGCAGCCGGUGACUGCUUGGUCGCCCGCAACUGCCACUCCCCCGGGAUUGAGACUCCUUUAGGGAGGGCUGAGGAGGUGCGAGAAGAGUGGGCGCAGCCUGCAGAGCCGGGCAUUUGGCCCAUGCUCUGCCCCCAACCACCCACCCAGCAAGCAGAGGUCCAGAGAUCUUAGCGCGGCCUUGCCAUGAGGAUGGGGUCUCACGACUGAGCUCGGAAGCUCACCUAAUCCUAGCUGCAGCGUGUCAGCCUAGACCCCAGACAGGGCCUUCUCCCUGUCCUCUCUUUUGGCAGGGGCGGAUGAGCCGGUUUUAUAUUUACCCUUAUUUUACAGACGGGGAAACUGAGUCUCAGAAAGAAGCAAGGACUUAUCCAAGGUUACGCUGAGUCUAAGAGACAUAAGCCUGGUCUGGAAUCCUGGGCUUGUGGUCAGCUCCCCGUUCCUCGCCGCUCCCACCUCCCAGCCUGCCCUUUUCCCACGCUCUCUCCUUUUUUCUCUGGAAGCCUCCAGAGGCGCCUGCCAUUUGGGAGCUCCUCUUCCUCUUCACUCUGUGAAAACUCUCAGAUCCACCCCUAAACCUGUUUUCCUGUAAGAGGAUAGGGAGGAGGCGAAGGGAAACUUACCUAUUGGUCCUUGUCCUAGGACCCUCCGAUUUCCUUUCCCAUAGAAGCUAGGCAGAUGUGUCUUUGUUGGAAACUGGAGAUCAGAGGCCAGAAAGGCAACACAGGUAUAGUGGUCACUAGCAUGGGCUCUAGAAAAAAAUGCUCGGAUUUCAAUCCUGACGAUCAUUUACUUUUGACCUUGAGCAAGUUAAUCUCUAAGUGCCUGGCGUCAUGGUUUUUGAGACAAUUACAUAAGGUAAAUGCAAGUACAGGUAAAACAAUGAGAAUACUGCCUGGAACAUGGAAAUCACUCAGUAAAUAUUACAGAUUUUUUUUUUCAAGACGGAGUUCUGUCUUGUUGCCCAGGCUGGAGUGCAAUGGCGUAAUCUCGGCUCACUGCACCUCUGCCUCCCAGGUUCAAGUGAUUCUCCUGCCUCAGCCACCCAAGUAGCUAGGAUUACAGGCGCGCACCACCACACUCGGCUAAUUUUUUGUAUUCAGUAGAGACAGGGAUUCACCGUGUUGGUCAGGCUGGUCUCGAACUCCUGACCUCAGGUGAUCCGCCCUCCUCUGCCUCCUAAAGUGCUGGGAUUACAGGCAUGAGCCAAUGAGCCCCCAGCCUGGAUUAUUAUUAUUGUUCCAGAAGGAAGUACUCUUACGGUUUGUUCUGGGAGGCUGCCACUAAGAGCUGUAGAAGGCAGCUGGCUUCCCCAAAGGCUGAGCCUAGGCUCUCUCCUAGGUUCUCCUGGGUACUUCUCUCAAAUAUUGUUUCCCUUGGGGAGGUUUACCUAGAGGUUAUAGCCAUUGUCUCUCGGAGCCAUAGCACCUGUUCCUCCCUGUAUCUAACCUGCCUGAACUAGGGGGAGAAAAGUGGGGAGGAGAAGGUUGCUUCAAAACGCCCAUUCAUGGUGAUGCUCCACCCGUAUCCUGCAUGCUGGGGACACAGAGACAGUAGAGGGGGAUUAGUGAGUUAAACAGUCACAGAGGCUGGGCGUGGUGGCUCACACCUGUAAUCCCAGAACUUGGGGAGGCCAAGGCUGGCGGAUCGCUUAAGGUCAGAAGUUCAAGACCAGCCUGACCAAUAUGGUGAAAUCCCAUCUCUACCAAAAAUAUAAAAUUAGCAGGGUGUGGUGGCAGGCAACUUUAGUCCCAGCUCCUCAGGAGGCUGAGGCAGGAGAAUCGCUUCAACUCAAGAGGCAGAGGUUGCAGUAAGCCGAGAUCGUGCCACUGCACUCUAGCCUGGGCAACAGAAUGAGGCUCUACCUCUAAAUAAAUAAAUAAAUAAAUAAAUAAAUAUGCCAGGCGUGGUGGCUGACACCUGUAAUCCCAGCACUUUAGGUGGCCAAGGCAGGCAGAUCACGAGGUCAGGAGAUCAAGACCAUCCUGGCCAACAUGGUGAAACCCCAUCUGUACUAAAAUUAUAAAAAUUAGCUGGGUAUGGUGGUGCCUGUAAUCCCAGCUACUCAGGAGGAUAAGGCAGGAGAAUUGCUUAAACUCGGGAGGUGGAGGUUGCAGUGAGCCAAGAUGGCGCCACUGCACUCCAGCCUGGCAACAGAGACACCCUGAAAAAAAAAAAAGAAAAAAAGAAAGUUACAGAGCACAGAAGGAGGACAUCUUUCCAGAUUGGGGAAUGGUCAGGGAAGGUUUCCAGAAGGAGGUAUAUACUCUGACCUGAGUUCCAGAGGAUCAACAGGAAGUUUCUCAGUGUGUGGACCCGCCUCCUCAGGGACACUGCCCAGCCCUACUUGCAUCCAGAUGUGGCCAUGUGACUAGUUCUCAACAAUGGAAUGUGUGUAGGACUUUAUGUAUGUCACUGCUAGGUCAGGGCACUUAAGAAGCAGAUUAGACUUCUCCCUUCUUUCUAUUUUUGCCUUCUACCAGCUAGAAUUAGAAGAUUCUGAGGCUCUAAGUAAUGGUAAAGCACAUGGAGGAAAGGCUCCAGCUGACCAAGAAUACCCACACCGGACUGUCCUGUG
rnacentral:lncRNA from 10 species